rnacentral:lncRNA from 1 species
UUUCCAUGAGUAGUCAGUUGUAGUAUUUCAGGAUUUUAUGAGAUAAUUUGUUUACUUUAAGUAGAAAUUUCUCAUGAUUUUAGAAACUUGGAUCUACAUCCAAUAUGCCUGUAUUUCUGGCCAGUGAAUAUACAUAUUUCUGACCAAUUAAUGUAUUAUAUAAUCACCAAGCUGCUACUGGGAUCUGGAUCUUUCCAGGUUAUUAUUAUUUUUUGAUCUAUGUUACAUCUACCAGAUAUUAUUUCUCCAAUUGCAGAAGCAGAAAUACCAGAGAAACCCCAAGUGCAGGCACAGUGUUAAUUUGAACAUGUUUUGUCAUUUAUUUCAUCAUCAAUGCGUUUCAUAAUGAGACUCAACAAUUGUUUGUGUUUGACAUCGCAGAUGAAAUUGAAAUUUGAAGUCUAGAAGGUUUCAAAUACUUUAAUUCACGUAUAAGGAUGCUGAAGCCCAGGAAAGUGAAGUCAACAUCUUUCAGCAUCCCAGGGAAUCUAAAGUGUCAUUUCCUCUCUGGAAGAAAGGAAGCACAAAACAUGCUGGGUAUGUACUCUAAAUUUUCACUCAGUGUCAGUUCUAACUAUAAAUUUCUCCCAAGUCCUGUAUCUCUCUCAUUCUUUUUCCCCAACCCUCUCCAAAUCUUACAUCAAUACCUUUCUUUUAAAGUUAGGAUGCAGGAUUUUUACAGGAUGACACAUAUUAAAUUAAAAUAAAGCUGUGACUGUAAAACAAAUUACCUUCUAUCCACCCCCAAUUCCUUUAAUCUAUUGCUUUCCACUGGAUUAUGUUCUGUAAGUGAUUUUGUUGUAAUGGUUAGUUUUGUUUUCAGGAAAAUCACAUUUUGCAAAUAAUGAGA